rnacentral:lncRNA from 10 species
CUUCCCUGUCUUGUUCCUGGGCGCAGAGGGCUCCUCCGGCGCCGCCGAGCUGCGCCCGCUGCCUUCACACCCCGGACAUCCGCGCCACACUGAUGGAUCCUAGAACCUGUUCUAGAAGGAGACGCUGAGUUCUCCCCACUCUACCUGGAGCUGCUGAGGUCAAGUGGAGAGUGCCGGGGCUGAAGCCCAGCGAGCCCCUCCCUGUCACACCACACUGCACAUGUGACACCAAAGGUGGGGUUCACCUCUUUUCAGACUUUCUGCGGUUGCCCUCACAUGGGCUGUCUGGAGGUGCACCCUCACUCUUCCUGAGGACUGUGGUUCCUUCUCCAUCACUGGUUCAUUCUGCAUGGUGUGACCCACCACGGCUCUGGAGUCGGAUUUCCACCCAGGUCAUUCAGCUGAGACCUGCGCUUCCCAGGCCUACCCGUGACAUGUGCUCAGUUACCUGAGCUGCUGGUGGUCACUCAUGUGGCUAUAGCCUGCUGCCUGGAGGCCAGGCCUCCCGCUUCCCCUGCCUCCCCCUCUCCUCACCACAGCCUGUUGGGAUGGAACAGGACAGGGGUGAGACCGUGGUGCUUUCACACUCAGCCUCCAUGGACAUCCUGUCAUUCCCACCCGGGGAGGUCUGGUCCCCACCCUGGGUGUCCCAGCCUAGCUCCGCUACGAGUGUGAGGGCCCAGGGCAACCGCCUAGCCCUCAUCUGCCCCCUGCACUGCAUCCUCCCCACUCAUUCAUUCCACAGGCAUUUAUUGAGCAUCUACUGUGUGCCAGAUGCAAAGAAGACAGUGGGAUAACUGGGCAAGGAGCAUUCCAGGCAGAGGGAACAGCCAGUGCAAACAUGGGAGAUGCGGGUGCAGUGAGAAGGAGCAGAGGAGACCAGGAGUUGAGGCGACUGCAGAGCGAUUGCAGAGCUCAUAGACGUGAUGAAGACCAGCUGGGCACUGCAGCGGCUCUGGCUUCUGCUGUGAGGGACGGGGAGCUGUGGAGACUCCCUCUGUUUGGUCCCAUUUCCAUAUUGCUGAGCACCUGCUGCAUGCUCUCUGUCCUGCUCAGAGCCAGUACCUGGAUGGAGGCUGUGUGUUCUGGG